AGGCAAGAUGUUGGCAUAGCU
rnacentral:miRNA from 7 species